GAAAAGAGAUCAUGAACCAGCAGCUGCCGUUAGCUUUAGCACACCUUCACCCCCCAGUUUCUCAUGUGGCUUCCCCUGGUGUGCCAGCUAGGGAGAGCCCACACCCACAACCUUUAUGAGACCAGUGCCUUCUUUUUGUCCAUGUCACCUUUUUCUAUAGUUUUCUUAAUCAGGCAGCUAGCGAGUACAGAAUGACUCUCAAAGGAAAGCCUGGCAGCACUGUGCUCUAUUUUCCUAUGGCUAGACUUGGAAAUACCAGUUUGUGUUUGUUUCAUGCUGGCGAAAAGGCAAAGAGCACUGCCAACUGUGUUUUUUCUGACCAGGCAGUUAGUUUUGAUUGAUGCCUUGCUUUUUGCUCAUACAGAUGAAGGAAGCGCUCUCAGUAGGCUUGCUUUCCUCCUGCUGUCACUGAGCUCCCCAGCCAGCCAGUCCUCUCAGCCCAGAUGUAUUUGCUUGUUACAGAACUUCCCAGGUCAUCUCCAUUAAACAGCAAUGCACCAAUAGUAUAUUAAACUGAGUAACUCCUCUGCCUGCUUGUUCAGGUUAGAUGUGAUACAUAAAUGUGCUAGAAAAUGGUUUCAGCAGUGGAGUUCAGACUGUGCAGCACCCAGCUUGACACUGGCAGUUUUAGAAGGUUGCAUUCCAGACAUUAAGGCUCUUGUGAAGAUGAUGGGCAGUGCAGUGCAGAAAGAGAAAAAGCCUCAAUAAAAGGAAUCUGUCAUGCAAUGGAGUGGUGUGAUGACCACAGAUUUACCACAUUCCCUGGGCUUGCUCUUCUUCUCAGAAAUUGUCAUGCCAUGGUACAGGGCAAGAACUUAAGAGUCUGAAAAGAAAGUGUAUUUUGGUUCGCCUUGCCCUUGCUGUGGCGAGAUGCGAAAAGGGGUGCAAUCGCUUUUCCGAGGCCACCGGAUCGAGGCAGACUCCAGCUGUUGGUCUGGAAAGCUGAGACAGGUAAGGGAAUAUGUUCUUUAGCGCCUUCUUCCCAGAAUCUGGAAGCUGACCCCGGCAGCUGGGAGACUUUUUGCUCCUUUCCCUGCUGUUUUAUGUUGUUGGUGAUGUCUCCGCAGAUAAGUGACUUCGCUGCAUCCGGAGUUUGCGUUCGAAGCAGAGACUAAUUAUAAGGAACGUUUCAGAAUAAACACAUUUCCAAAGAAGUUUGUUUGUAAGGGGAAAAUACAUGUGUAAAGGAGGUUAAAUGGGACAAUUUGUUUCCUUUCUUGUCUUUUUCUACCUAACCCGCUAGAGUUUCGUUUUAAAAUAGAGGCAUCCUUAGCAGGA